rnacentral:rRNA from 1 species
UACGAAGGGGGCUAGCGUUGCUCGGAAUCACUAGGCGUAAAGCGCACGUAGGCGGCUUUCUAAGUCAGGGGUGAAAUCCUGGAGCUCAACUCCAGAACUGCCUUUGAUACUGGAGAGCUUGAGUCCGGAAGAGGUGAGUGGAACUCCGAGUGUAGAGGUGAAAUUCGUAGAUAUUCGGAAGAACACCAGUGGCGAAGGCGGCUCACUGGUCCGGUACUGACGCUGAGGUGCGAAAGCGUGGGGAGCAAACAGG